GGAAGACAUGGGCAGUGAGAGGUAGAGAGAUAAGAAGAAUGGUGGAAGACAUGGGCAGUGAGAGGUAGAGAGAGAUAAGAAGAAUGGUGGAAGACAUGGGCAGUGAGAGGUAGAGAGAGAUAAGAAGAAUGGUGGAAGACAUGGGCAGUGAGAGGUAGAGAGAGAAAAAGAAUAGUGGAAGACAUGGGCAGUGAGAGGUAGAGAGAGAAAAAUAAUAGUGGAAGACAUGGGCAGUGAGAGGUAGAGAGAGAAAAAUAAUAGUGGAAGACAUGGGCAGUGAGAGGUAGAGAGAGAAAAAUAAUAGUGGAAGACAUGGGCAGUGAGAGGUAGAGAGAUAAGAAGAAUGGUGGAAGACAUGGGCAGUGAGAGGUAGAGAGAGAUAAGAAGAAUGGUGGAAGACAUGGGCAGUGAGAGGUAGAGAGAGAAAAAUAAUAGUGGAAGACAUGGGCAGUGAGAGGUAGAGAGACAAGAAGAAUGGUGGAAGACAUGGGCAGUGAGAGGUAGAGAGAGAAAAAGAAUAGUGGAAGACAUGGGCAGUGAGAGGUAGAGAGAGAAAAAUAAUAGUGGAAGACAUGGGCAGUGAGAGGUAGAGAGAGAAAAAGAAUAGUGGAAGACAUGGGCAGUGAGAGGUAGAGAGAGAAAAAUAAUAGUGGAAGACAUGGGCAGUGAGAGGUAGAGAGAGAAAAAUAAUAGUGGAAGACAUGGGCAGUGAGAGGUAGAGAGAGAAAAAUAAUAGUGGAAGACAUGGGCAGUGAGAGGUAGAGAGAGAAAAAGAAUAGUGGAAGACAUGGGCAGUGAGAGGUAGAGAGAGAAAAAUAAUAGUGGAAGACAUGGGCAGUGAGAGGUAGAGAGAGAAAAAUAAUAGUGGAAGACAUGGGCAGUGAGAGGUAGAGAGAUAAGAAGAAUGGUGGAAGACAUGGGCAGUGAGAGGUAGAGAGAUAAGAAGAAUGGUGGAAGACAUGGGCAGUGAGAGGUAGAGAGAGAAAAAGAAUAGUGGAAGACAUGGGCAGUGAGAGGUAGAGAGAUAAGAAGAAUGGUGGAAGACAUGGGCAGUGAGAGGUAGAGAGAUAAGAAGAAUGGUGGAAGACAUGGGCAGUGAGAGGUAGAGAGAGAAAAAGAAUAGUGGAAGACAUGGGCAGUGAGAGGUAGAGAGAGAUAAGAAGAAUGGUGGAAGACAUGGGCAGUGAGAGGUAGAGAGAGAUAAGAAGAAUGGUGGAAGACAUGGGCAGUGAGAGGUAGAGAGAGAAAAAUAAUAGUGGAAGACAUGGGCAGUGAGAGGUAGAGAGAGAAAAAUAAUAGUGGAAGACAUGGGCAGUGAGAGGUAGAGAGAGAAAAAUAAUAGUGGAAGACAUGGGCAGUGAGAGGUAGAGAGAGAAAAAUAAUAGUGGAAGACAUGGGCAGUGAGAGGUAGAGAGAGAAAAAUAAUAGUGGAAGACAUGGGCAGUGAGAGGUAGAGAGAGAAAAAUAAUAGUGGAUGACAUGGGCAGUGAGAGGUAGAGAGAGAAAAAUAAUAGUGGAAGACAUGGGCAGUGAGAGGUAGAGAGAGAAAAAUAAUAGUGGAAGACAUGGGCAGUGAGAGGUAGGGAGAGAGAGGAAGAAUGGUGGAAGACU